GAUGAACGCUCGGCGGGCGGUGCCUAAUACAUGCAAGUCGAUCGAGGGAGACGACAGGCUUAGGCUGAGUCGAACUAGAGGCGAACGGGUGAGUAAUACAUAAGCAACCUGCCCACGAAGACUGGGAUAAUCCCUGGAAACGGGGACUAAGACCGGAUAGGUAACGGGACCGCAUGGUCAUGUUAUUAAAGGACAAAACACUGGUGGAUGGGCUUAUGGCGCAUUAGUUAGUUGGUGAGGUAACGGCCCACCAAGACGAUGAUGCGUAGCCGGCCUGAGAGGGUGAACGGCCACAUUGGGACUGAGACACGGCCCAG
rnacentral:rRNA from 1 species